UACUGGUGAAAGCCAGGGAGUAAGCAUCCUUGUAUUUUCUCAGGCUGCUCAAAGAAAACAUGAGAGAAAGAAUUAUAACAAUGAUUAGCACCUGCUGGAUGUGUGAGAGACGAUGUUUUUGUGAAAGCAUGUUUACAAAUGGUGUUAUCUUCCUUGCACCAAUAAAAUCAUGUCUAUCCUCGCUCCAAGAUCUGGUCUAUAAAAGUGUAGUUGUUUCUUUAAUAAAAGGUUUUUUACUUCUCUUCUGCAUGAAGGAAGAAUUGUUGCUACAUCUUUUUUGCCACUCCCCUAGCCCAACGGCAACAAUUGGAGGUCCCAUCGAGAUUCGCAUUUUUAGCGAGAUCGGACUCCACUGAGAUCGCCCUUAAACGAUCGCCAACGUGAUAGCAGCGGGAUAAACCCAGAGCUGAAAGUCUGCUGAAACCGGGACAGACUCACCGAGGCUUGUAGAAAACCGGGACUAUGGUCUGAGAUAGAUUUUUCUAGCCAAAGCUGUGCUGAGAGAAGACUGAGAAGACUGAGUUACCAAGAAAACCAGGACAGUGAAGCCUGGGGCCAGAACCAGAACCAGCACUGGGAAAUUGGUCAGUAUCAUGAGCCAUCUGGGAAAACCGAGGACUCCUCGCUCCUGACAACAGCGGGAAGGGAGAUGCACGGAAAACGGGUGUCUCCUCCCUCAUCGAGAGAGCAUCAUGGCUCCACCCGGAAGUGAUGGCCUCUUUUUCCGCUUCACCGGAGACGAUGUUGACCCCGUCCGCCAUCACUGGCGUCACUUCCCGCCUCGCCGGCCAGAGAAGAUGUCCCUGCUAACCCAUGUGUGGGCAGACCCCUUCCAUCAAUGCCCCAGGGUGCCGUACCAUCUUCUGUCAGCCCGGCACCGCCUUCACCGCUUCCAUGUCAUGUUGAUGCCGCCAGUGGGUCAUGUCCUCUCUGGAGGCGUGCCUUCAGUCCACUCACUGUGGGGCCUGAAGGUCGCUUGGAGUUUUGGGGAGCAACCAAGCCUCAGGCAUUGCAACAGCGUGGCUGGGGCUCGGUGGGGCACAUGGAGAUGCUCAGGGGUCGCGGGGAUGAUGGCAUUUAUGUGGUGGGGGUGAAGGACAGUGCUCAGGCAGAUGCUUCUAAGCCCGACUUGAUUUCUGGGAAAUAAUUGUUGGAAAGUUGUGAUAAUAGCAUUCCAGUGAAAGAAACUCAAUCCUUUUUCAUGUUUGAAGCUGUUCCUAAGGCUGAACAGCGUGACUGGAAAAAGAGGGAAAAGAGUUAAAUAAUCCUGUUCUUGUGAAUCACAUUGUUACAGGCUUCAGACGGGACAUGCCUGCUUCGAGCUGAGGUUGUUGCUGCUGACCUGUGAUGCUGAAGGCAGAGUGUGUCCUUCAAAUGCUGAUCACCAGAUGAUCUCUCUACAAGCAGAGAACAGAACUGUUUUAACAUGAGAACUGUUAAACUGUUUUGUUGCAGUGUUUUGAAAUCAGAACUGCUUUGAAAUUAAUGGGCAAUUUUCAGAUUUUAGUUCUGGCGAAUUGUAUUAGACAUAGUACCUUUUGUUGAGUUUUUAGCCAGAUUUUUAAAAAUGUAUUAGAAAUGGUAAUGGAUUUUAAUUUUGAUGAAUUGUAUUGAUUUUAGUUCUGGUGAAUUGUAUUAGAAAUAGUACUUUUUGUUGAAUUGUUUUGAACUCCAUGAGAAAUUUUUGCCAGAUUUUUUAGAAUGUAUUAAGAAUGGUGAUGGAUUUUAGUUCUGGGGAACAGUGGCAGAUUUUAUUAUUGCAUUAGAAAUGGUGCUUUGGUGGUGGAUUUCUUGCAAGGAAGGUCAACAAAUUUGGAAGUUUCCUGGGCAGGUAUCCUUGGGUCUCCUGAGUCGUUUCUGUUCUCCCUAGCAAGGGGCCCCACUGGGGAGCACAGACACACUUCUUUUUUUUAAUAUACUUCAAAACUGGGACAUGUGGUAGAUACUGGUGAAAGCCAGGGAGAAAGCAGCCUUGUAUUUUCUCAGGCUGCUCAAAGAAAACAGGAGAGAAAGAAUUAUAACAAUGAUUAGCACCUUCUGGAUGCGUAAGAGACAUGAUGUUUUCGUGAAAGCAUGUUUACAAGCGAUGUUACCUUCCUUGCACCAAUGAAAUCAUGUCUGUCCUUGCUCCACGAUAUAGUCUAUAAAAGUGUAGCUGUUUCUUUAAUAAAAGGGCUUUUUGCUUCUCUUCUGCACGAGG